CUGCGAGUGAAGCGGGAAAAGCUCAAAUUUAAAAUCUGGCGGUCCUUGGCCGUCCGAGUUGUAAUCUAGAGAAGUGUUACCCGCGCUGGACCGUGUACAAGUCUCCUGGAAUGGAGCGUCAUAGAGGGUGAGAAUCCCGUCUCUGACACGGACUACCAGGGCUUUGUGGUAUGCUCUCAAAGAGUCGAGUUGUUUGGGAAUGCAGCUCAAAAUGGGUGGUAAAUUCCAUCUAAAGCUAAAUAUUGGCGAGAGACCGAUAGCGAACAAGUACCGUGAGGGAAAGAUGAAAAGAACUUUGGAAAGAGAGUUAAACAGUACGUGAAAUUGCUGAAAGGGAAACGCUUGAAGUCAGUCACGUUGGCUGGGAAUCAACCUCGCAUUUGCGUGGAGUACUUUCUGGUUGACGGGUCAGCAUCAAUUUUGACCGCUGGAAAAAGGCUUGGGGAAUGUGGCAGCUUCGGCUGUGUUAUAGCCCCUUGUCGCAUACAGUGGUUGGGAUUGAGGAACUCAGCACGCCGCAAGGCCGGGUUUCGACCACGUUCGUGCUUAGGAUGCUGGCAUAAUGGCUUUAAGCGACCCGUCUUGAAACACGGACCAAGGAGUCUAACAUGCCUGCGAGUGUUUGGGUGGAAAACCCGAGCGCGUAAUGAAAGUGAAAGUUGAGAUCCCUGUCGUGGGGAGCAUCGACGCCCGGACCAGAACUUUUGGGACGGAUCCGCGGUAGAGCAUGUAUGUUGGGACCCGAAAGAUGGUGAACUAUGCCUGAAUAGGGUGAAGCCAGAGGAAACUCUGGUGGAGGCUCGUAGCGAUUCUGACGUGCAAAUCGAUCGUCAAAUUUG
rnacentral:rRNA from 1 species